CGGACGGGUGAGUAAUGUCUGGGAAACUGCCCGAUGGAGGGGGAUAACUACUGGAAACGGCAGCUAAUACCGCAUAACGUCGCAAGACCAAAGAGGGGACCUUCGGGCCUCUUGCCAUCGGAUGUGCCCAGAUGGGAUUAGCUAGUAGGUGGGGUAACGGCUCACCUAGGCGACGAUCCCUAGCUGGUCUGAGAGGAUGACCAGCCACACUGGAACUGAGACACGGUCCAG
rnacentral:rRNA from 1 species